UUGGUUCGGGUAUCGGAUAUAACCAAUCGGAUACGGGUAUCCGGACUGGUUGAAUCCUAAAUAUGUUCGGGUUUUUUUGAACUUCGGUUCGGUUUUCGGUUCGGGUUUUUCGGGUCGGUUCGGAUUCGGAUUCGGGUUUCGGUUAAUAUGCCCAUGCCUAAUGAGUAUUAUGGAUGAGUAAUGGUAUUGUCAUUUGAGUAAUAAGAUAUAUACUGAGUCUCUGUAAACGCGUUUCUUGUCAUUGGCAACAUUCACCAAAAUAUUGUCUAUUAAAAAGACUUUUUUUUGGGUUCACCCCCUAGGGUGAACCUUUAGGUUCACCAACCAAUAGAAAGUUGUCAUUUUAGAUCUAGUAUCUUUUAAUUAAGAAAACAAAAUAACUUGCCAAAUUAUAUUAUGCUUUUAA
rnacentral:lncRNA from 1 species